rnacentral:misc_RNA from 1 species
AUGCCUGUUCGAGCGUCAUUUCAACCCUCAAGCCUAGCUUGGUGUUGGGCCAGGCCCGUCGCGGCCGGCCCCAAAGUCAGUGGCGGUGCCCUCCGGCUCUAAGCGUAGUAAUUCUCUCGCUCUAGGCCCGGGUGGUGUCCUGCCAAACCCCAACUUCUAUGGUUGACCUCGGAUCAGGUAGGGAUACCCGCUGAACUUAA